GUAGGGGGCAAGCGUUAUCCGGAUUUACUGGGUGUAAAGGGAGCGUAGACGGUAUGGCAAGUCUGAUGUGAAAGGCCAGGGCUCAACCCUGGGACUGCAUUGGAAACUGUCGAACUAGAGUGUCGGAGAGGCAAGUGGAAUUCCUAGUGUAGCGGUGAAAUGCGUAGAUAUUAGGAGGAACACCAGUGGCGAAGGCGGCUUGCUGGACGAUGACUGACGUUGAGGCUCGAAAGCGUGGGGAGCAAACAGGAUUAGAUACCCUGGUAGUCCACGCCGUAAACGAUGACUACUAGGUGUCGGGUAGCANAGCUAUUCGGUGCCGCANCCAACGCAAUAAGUAGUCCACCUGGGGAGU
rnacentral:rRNA from 1 species